GUGCCAGCCGCCGCGGUAAGACAGAGGGUGCAAACGUUGUUCGGAAUUACUGGGCGUAAAGCGUGUGUAGGUGGCCGCGCAAGUCGGGUGUGAAAGCCCUGGGCUCAACUCAGGAAGUGCACCCGAUACUGCGUGGCUCGAGUACCGGAGAGGUUGGUGGAAUUCUCGGUGUAGUGGUGAAAUGCGUAGAUAUCUGGAGGAACACCGGUGGCGAAGGCGGCAUCCUGGACCAAUUCUGACACUGAGGAGCGAAAGCCAGGGGAGCAAACGGGAUUAGAUACCCGGGUAGUCC
rnacentral:rRNA from 1 species